UACGUAGGGUGCAAGGCGUUAAUCGGAAUUACUGGGCGUAAAGCGUGCGCAGGCGGUUUUGUAAGUCUGUCGUGAAAUCCCCGGGCUCAACCUGGGAAUUGCGAUGGAGACUGCAAGGCUAGAAUCUGGCAGAGGGGGGUAGAAUUCCACGUGUGAGCAGUGAAAUGCGUAGAUAUGCGGAGGAACACCGAUGGCGAAGGCAUCCCCUGGGCCUGCACUGACGCUCAUGCACGAAAGCGUGGGGAGCAAACAGG
rnacentral:rRNA from 1 species